AUUGAACGCUGGCGGCAGGCCUAACACAUGCAAGUCGAGCGGAUGAAGGGAGCUUGCUCCUGGAUUCAGCGGCGGACGGGUGAGUAAUGCCUAGGAAUCUGCCUGGUAGUGGGGGAUAACGUCCGGAAACGGGCGCUAAUACCGCAUACGUCCUGAGGGAGAAAGUGGGGGAUCUUCGGACCUCACGCUAUCAGAUGAGCCUAGGUCGGAUUAGCUAGUUGGUGGGGUAAAGGCCUACCAAGGCGACGAUCCGUAACUGGGCUGAGAGGAUGAUCAGUCACACUGGAACUGAGACACGGUCCAGACUCCUACGGGAGGCAGCAGUGGGGAAUAUUGGACGAUGGGCGAAAGCCUGAUCCAGCCAUGCCGCGUGUGUGAAGAAGGUCUUCGGAUUGUAAAGCACUUUAAGUUGGGAGGAAGGGCAGUAAGUUAAUACCUUGCUGUCUUGACGUUACCAACAGAAUAAGCACCGGCUAACUUCGUG
rnacentral:rRNA from 1 species